GCGUGCAGGGCGGGGCGGUUGUAGAGGACAGAUCUUCGCUCCCAGGGCGACGGGGCGGGGCCUGUGGGGGCGGGCCCUGUUUCGUGGGCGGGGCCGUGGCGGGCUCAAAUGGCGGUGGCGCUGGGCACCUAGGCCGGUGGGGGCCAUGAGCUCCGCCCGGCCCCAGUUUAGCAUCGAUGACGCCUUCGAGCUGACCCUGGAAGACGCGGGGCCUGGGCCCGAGUCCAGCGGGGUCGCCCGCUUCGGGCCGCUGCACUUCGAACGCCGGGCCCGGUUCGAGGUGGCUGAUGAAGACAAGCAGUCCCGGCUACGCUACCAGAACCUGGAAAAUGAUGAGGAUGGAGCCCAGGCCUCUCCAGAGCCUGAUGGGGGAGUCAGCACCAGGUCAGGACCAGGGAUUCCGGGCACAUGUCUAUCCGUAGCUCCCAGUGGUCUUUCAGCACCAUCAGCAGCACCACCCAGCGCUCCUACAAUGCCUGCUGCAGGUGAGAGCCUCCUCACUUGGGGUUCAGCUUCCAAGCACCUCUGCUUCUGCCUGCCAGCCAGCCCUGGCUCCACCUGCUUCACCUCCUUGACCUCCAUCUUGCUCUCCUGCCACUCAGCUGGACCGAACAUCCUCUGAUCCAGAAAAACCGCCGGGUGGUGCUGGCCUCCUUCCUGCUUCUGCUGUUGGGACUAGGUAUCUCCAGCGCCAUCUUCUUCGUGCCAGGCAUCCUGCUCCUAGUCCCAGGAGUCUACCAUGUGAUCUUCAUCUACUGUGCUGUCAAGGGCCGCCGGGGCUUCCAGUUCUUCUACCUGCCCUACUUUGAGAAGUGAGCUGCAGCUGGCCAGUGGCUUCCAGUGAUCCAAGGCCUCAGGUCACCUCCACGUGUCCACAGGGUUCCUCCAACCUACAUCGGGCUCUGUUCCUUUCACCUGGAAGGCAGAGGCCCUUUGUAACCCUCAUAACCACCAGGCCCCUUUGGAUUUGCUCAGGAAGUUUGGGGCAUGCCAGCCUGGGGAUAUUGUCCCUUACCUGAUGUGUGCCUUAACUUAUUCCUGGGCCCUGGACUCCUGAGUUGGUGUAAUUUUGUGCUAAUAAAAGGGCAGUUACUUCCAGCAAG